GACCUUGUGGUCGAGUGGUAAGGACAUUUGCCUCUCACCCUGGAAUCCUGAGUUCGAUUCUCACCCUGGAGUCC